rnacentral:tRNA from 6 species
GGGCCUGUAGCUCAAUUGGUAGAGCACCGCCUUUGCAAGGCGGGGGUCAGGGGUUCGAUUCCCCUCAGGUCCA